CGGUCGCUGUUAUAUCGAUGAAGCUGGCUUUCCAGUGUGCGGAUGCACAGAAGGAAUGUUUGGGUCGUUCUGUCAGUUAGGAGCUGUCACCAAUGUGCUUGAUGCUGCUGGCUACCCCAGAGAAUCCUUGCUAACUCUGCACCUUGGAGGGAGGUUUACACUCACCGAUGCCCAAUACAACGAAAUAGAGACGUUU